GUAAGUCUAGCACUCACUACUUAUGUUUACGUCUUUUCAUUUAUCCUGUGACUAGUUUCUUAUGCUUGUUUGGUCUUUAUGACAUAAAUAUUUUAUAUGAAAAGUGUUGUACUUUAGAGAAGGCAAAGAAAAAAUGUCUCAAUAUUUGUGCGUGAAAUUUAGUAUAUCUUCUUUAUUUUAUAGAUAGGUUCAGUCUAUAUCUUCUUUAUUUUAUAGAUAGGUUCAGUC
rnacentral:misc_RNA from 1 species